rnacentral:rRNA from 1 species
GAUGAACGCUGGCGGCGUGCUUAACACAUGCAAGUCGAACGGAAAGGCCCCAGCUUGCUGGGGUACUCGAGUGGCGAACGGGUGAGUAACACGUGGGUGAUCUGCCCUGCACUUUGGGAUAAGCUUGGGAAACUGGGUCUAAUACCGAAUAUGACCACUUCUUGGAUGUUGUGGUGGAAAGCUUUUGCGGUGUGGGAUGAGCCUGCGGCCUAUCAGCUUGUUGGUGGGGUAAUGGCCUACCAAGGCGGCGACGGGUAUCCGGCCUGAGAGGGGGGACGGACACAUUGGGACUGAGAUACGGCCUAGACUCCUACGGGAGGCAGCAGUGGGGAAUAUUGCACAAUGGGCGCAAGCCUGAUGCAGCGGCGCCGCGUGGGGGAUGAAGGCCUUCGGGUUGUAAACUCCUUUCGCUAUCGACGAAGCCACUUGUAGUGACGGUAGGUAGAUAAGAAGCACCGGCUAACUACGUGCCAGCCGCCGCCGUAA